rnacentral:rRNA from 1 species
UUGUCUUUGUGCGAGCUUCUGCAGGUCCCUUUCAGCAUUGAAGAUCCAGAUUAUAAGGGGCUUGAGCUGGAUGUGAUGUCUCCAUGUGAGAAGCACGGCAUGGCAUCUGAGAGGCUUGUUGCCUUUGAAGGAACAGACACAGGCAGGAGGUUUUUAGCAUGUGCACAGCCGGAAGGUAGCAAUUGUGGCUUUGUUGAAUGGGUUGAUCACCAGUGGCCCCCAACAAUGCAGAAUGCAUUGUUGAAGCUAUGGGCAAUGGUUGAAGAUGCCAAAAGUGCUAGGGUGAAUGACAAUCUUGAAAGUUCUUUCACUAUCCACCAUCUGACAGAAGAGAAGAACAACCUGGAGGCCAACUAUGACAAGCUAGUCCAAGAUGUGCAUCAGCUUAUGAGCUUCCAGGAGGAUAGGGUGGUGGAUUUCAGACAUCUGCAGUCUGCCAUUACAUAUCAGCAUGAAUGCAGAAGUGAACUGGUGGCUGAUAUGAAUGCACAGAUGGCAAAGAAAGAUGCAGAGUUUGAGAAGUUUAAGGAGAAUUAUGAUGUGCUACUGAACCCGACAAGAGCUCAAGCUACAGUCAUCCAGAACCUGAAGUUGAAGCAUAUUACUCAUAAGCAAUUGCUUACUGAAGCUAAGAUGAACUUGGAGUUGAAGAAUGCAGAGCUCACAAAGUCUAAGGAGAAGCUGAAGGGGAAGAUCAAGGGGAUCCAGGCCAUCUUAGAGAAGUGA